rnacentral:rRNA from 1 species
UACGUAGGUGGCGAGCGUUGUCCGGAUUUACUGGGCGUAAAGAGCGCGCAGGCGGUCGUUCAAGUCGCGUGUGAAAGCCCCCGGCUCAACCCGGGAACUGCGUCCGAUACUGGAAGGCUUGAAUCCGGGAGAGGGAUGUGGAAUUCCAGGUGUAGCGGUGAAAUGCGUAGAUAUCUGGAGGAACACCGGUGGCGAAGGCGACAGCCUGGACCGGUAUUGACGCUGAGGCGCGAAAGCCAGGGGAGCAAACGGG